UCGCAUCCACUUAUAGUAUUUAUGGUGACAAGCAUUUCUAUGUAUAUAGAUACAUAACAAACAUUCGUACUUGCCUCAAAUACUCUUAAACAAAUCAGAUAUGUUGUUGUUUCUCUGGAACAUGUAUUUUAGGGUUGAGUUACCCAACAGGUACUGAAAGACGAGAUUCUAAAAUGGGGAGAUUUACAUUGGAACAAAUUAGAGAGGCCACGUAGGAUUUCAGUCCAGUUAACAAGAUUGGAGAAGGUGGUUUUGGUCCUGUCUACAAGCACCCUAAUCUUGUGAAACUCCAUGGAUGUUGCAUUGAAGGGGAUGAAUUAAUGUUGGUGUAUGAGUACAUGGAAAAUAAUAGCCUGGCUCAAGCUUUGUUCGAGAAACUAAUUCAGUAUUGGCAUAGCAAAAGGUCUUGCAUUUCUUCAUG